GAUGAACGCUGGCGGCGUGCCUAAUACAUGCAAGUCGAGCGAACGGACGAGAAGCUUGCUUCUCUGAUGUUAGCGGCGGACGGGUGAGUAACACGUGGAUAACCUACCUAUAAGACUGGGAUAACUUCGGGAAACCGGAGCUAAUACCGGAUGAUAUUUUGAACCGCAUGGUUCAAAAGUGAAAGACGGUCUUGCUGUCACUUAUAGAUGGAUCCGCGCUGCAUUAGCUAGUUGGUAAGGUAACGGCUUACCAAGGCAACGAUGCAUAGCCGACCUGAGAGGGUGGUCGGCCACACUGGAACUGAGCCACGGUCCAGACUCCUACGGGAGGCAGCAGUAGGGAAUCUUCCGGAAUGGGCGAAAGCCUGACGGAGCAACGCCGCGUGAGUGAUGAAGGUCUUCGGAUCGUAAAACUCUGUUAUUAGGGAAGAACAUAUGUGUAAGUAACUGUGCACAUCUUGACGGUACCUAAUCAGAAAGCAACGGCUAACUACGUG
rnacentral:rRNA from 1 species